GUCAAUGACAAAUCAGAAAUAACUUAACUGCCCACCUGGGCUGUCCUAAGCUAAGCUAGAGCCAACCAUUGGCACUUGUGAGACACAGGAAGUGAGGUAAGGAACAGCCUCUGGAAUUCGCUCACUUCCUGUGGAGAGAGCGAGAUGGCAGUUGGUGUUAGGAGCUUGGAGGGAGAGGACCCCCGCAGACAGCUUUCCUUCAGAUCACUCACCAACCUGACAUAAGGAGGUGGUAUUAUCCAUCUUCUAUCUCAAAGCUAGAAUCAAGAAGUGUCCAAAGCAAUUGCAGAGACUGAAGAACUGGGCAAGAGUGAAGUGAUCUCUCCUCUCUCAAUGAUUACCAACUCUGCUCCUCCCUUCUCAUGGGUGCAGGCAAUUAAUCUCCACCAAUAAAGAGAAUCCAAAACCAA